rnacentral:rRNA from 1 species
GGCUCAGUACGAACGCUGGCGGCGCGCCUAAUACAUGCAAGUCGAGCGAGAAGGUGUAGCAAUACACUUGUAAAGCGGCGAACGGGUGAGGAAUACAUGGGUAAUCUACCAUCGAGUGGGGAAUAACCAGCCGAAAGGUUGGCUAAUACCGCGUACGCCUCCGGAUCUUCGGGUUCGGAGGGAAAGCUGCACUGUGAGUGCGGCGCUCUUUGAUGAGCUCAUGUCCUAUCAGCUUGUUGGUAGGGUAACGGCCUACCAAGGCUUUGACGGGUAGCUGGUCUGAGAGGACGAUCAGCCACACUGGCACUGCGACACGGGCCAGACUCCUACGGGAGGCAGCAGUAAGGAAUAUUGCGCAAUGGGCGAAAGCCUGACGCAGCGACGCCGCGUGGGGGAUGAAGGUCUUCGGAUUGUAAACCCCUUUCGGGAGGGAAGAUGGAGCGAGCAAUCGUUCGGACGGUACCUCCAGAAGCAGCCACGGCCAACUUCGUGCCAGCAGCCGCGGUAAUACGAAGGUGGCAAGCGUUGUUCGGAUUCACUGGGCGUACAGGGAGCGUAGGCGGUUGGGUAAGCCCUCCGUGAAAUCUCCAGGCUUAACCUGGAAAGUGCAGAGGGGACUGUUCAGCUAGAGGAUGGGAGAGGAGCGCGGAAUUCCCGGUGUAGCGGUGAAAUGCGUAGAGA